GGGCCGGGCUGGAGGCGCUCUCGGAGAGGCUGGGGGCCUGCGGCAGACGCCCCCUUCCCUCUCCGCCGGCCCCGGGCGCUUUAACCCUGAGGCUGCCGGCGGGCAGGAUGCGGGAAGGUCUGCGGCCCUGACAGUAUGGCCCCUGGCCCCCUGGCCCCUGCCGGGUGACCUGCCCCGAUGGCCCAGGUGGCUGCUCUGAUCAGUCUCAGCGAGGUCCCUGGGGAGAGAAGCGCCGCGCACCCACGUGCAGGCUGUGCAGUGUAAGGACACCCCGGGAUGAAGCCACUGGACACUGGACACCGGGCAGGGCGGGCAGGGGCGGGGCAGAGGAAUGCGGUGGAAUUCAGGCGGCGUCAGGAAGAGCAGGGCUGGUCUCUGGUCCCUGGAUGAACCUGAGCCCAGAGGCGCACACCCUCGCUCUGGCUCAGGCCCCGCUCCCAGGCAAAGCUCACGUCUGGUGACAGCAGUCAGGGUGGUGAUUCUGGGGGCAGGUAGCAGGGGGGGUGGGGGGGGCACAGGGAGCUUCCUGGAAUGGCAGCGUCCUGUGUGCUGGUUGGGGUGAGGCUGCUGGCCGACAGCCGGAUGGGGCUGUGCACUGAGGGGGUGGCGGCGACUGUGGGGACAUGACACCCAGGGCAGGAUGUGAAGGCACGCACAGGACACGCGUGCCGGGCACAGGGCUGGGUGGCGGUGGCAGGGGCUCAGGGAGAGGUGCGGAGGGUGAGGGUCCCGCAGCCCACAGCAUGGCCUCUAUUUGAGAAGCCAAAGCCGAAGAGGCUCGGUGAAAAGAUUCCCGGGCCUGGAGGUGCACUCUGUUCCCCUGAGUGCUUUUCCGUGUAUUUGGAACAGUUCACACUUUUUAGGAAGAAGCCGGUGGGGAGACGGGGCUGGGAGUCGGAUGGGGUGCAGCUCUGACCCUGUUUCUUGUUCGGUGCAACGCAGUCACCAAGAACUCCCUGCGGUGCAUGAGCCCCCGCCGCUCAGGUGCUCAACAAAGGGGUCUGGGUGGGGCCCCCCUUUUCCUCAGCCCCCCUGGGAGAAGGCACGACUUCCUGGGGUGGGGAGCCAGGGUGGGAAGGUCUCCACCUGCGGCUCCUUAGGCCAGUGGCCUGGCCUGGCCUGGCCGGGAAGGCUUGUGUUUCUGACAAAUGGGGCCAGCCAGCCCCAUGCCCUGCCCGUCCCGUCCCGCCUGUCCUGUCCCCGGGGCCAGGGUCACUCCAGGUGAGGCUCGGGGACAGCACACUCAGCAGGACGCAGGUCACCUGGCCUCCGAGUCCACGUGGCCCGAGCCUCAGGAGCCUCUGCAGCGGCGAGGACAGGCCUGGAUGGGGUGCCAGCCCGCGAGGCCUGCAGCCCCGCCCGCAGGGCACUGUUGGGGUGCUGGGAGCCCCGGAGGGCUGUGGGCAGCCCAGCUGGAGCCAGCAGGAAGGAAGGGAGGAGGGUCUGGGGUUAAGAAAGUGCAUUUGGGAAAGGAGAGGGAAGAAGAAAGAGAAAGCAAAAGGGGGGUCGCACCCAGGCUCUCGGGUGAAAGCCCCCGUGACCCCCGGGAAAGAAUCUUCCCAAACGCGGAGGUUAAGUGACGAGGUGACCCAGCUGCGGAAGGCAAGAGGGCAGCGAGGCUAGAGGGUCCGCAGGCACCCCGCCUGGGUGCACUCAUGCACACGAUCAGCUGGCACCCGGUGGAGCAGUCCCCUUCUGAACACUCACCUGAGGGACCCUCUUGCAGGCUCCACCCCUUGUGGCCUUCAGCCCCUGAGCUGGGGUCAGAUCCCAGCAUGCCCCAGGGCUGAAGAGCAAGGUUGACCUUGGAGGAAAUAGCUUCCACUCCAAAAGGAAGUCAAAUGCUGCCGAUUUCCAUCGGUGGGAAACCAGGUGGAUGACGCCACCGCCUUGGGCCGGAUUUACAGGAAUGAAGUCGGCGGGUCAUGCACAGAAGCAUCACUCGAACUAGGUGACAGUAAAACCCGAAGGCUGGGGACAGGACAGUGAGCUUCCAGGUUUGAAAUAUGUAACUGAGUGCAUUCAAAGAGAAAUGCGUAUGUUACUGCCUCACAGUUUGUUCUUUCAAUUUGUUGACAACCCUAAUAAAUGAUAAAGUUUCCUUUA